CAUUAAUGUAUUUGCUCUAUGUAUCAGUUACUACUGUAAUCCGUGCAGAGGAGAGUAGAGUGAACUGUUGUUUUAUACCAGUCAUAUUCCAGCAUUACUAACACAAAGGUUGAUAGUGAUAUUAGCAACUGUCCAAACCAUAAAGCAUUACACUUUACCAGGGCAUGCAUUUUGAAUACUAUUAAACUCCUGAUACUAAUAGAAAAUAAUACGAGGAAAUUAUGCCUAAAGUUUUACUUUUAU